UUUAGAAUUCCUACGCUUUACCGUUGCCAAGUUAUUGGGCAAAGCGUUUGGAUUCUAAAAC
rnacentral:pre_miRNA from 1 species